GUUUGUUUGAUAUGUAGAAUGUUUUGAUCUACCAGUAGUUCCUAUAUAUAUAUCUGGAAUUUUGUUGGAUAUUUAGACCAAGUCGUUGCUUUGGUAACAAUGCUAUUUGGUUUUUAAGCUUCCCUUUUCUCGUGUCUUGAAGGAAAGAAAAGAGGGCACUUAUAGCCUCCAAACACUUGAAAUCUCCUUUUAACACAUUGCAUUUGCACUACGGUUGUCCUCUCUCGAACACCAAUUAAAAAGGUAUUAUCUAUGGAAGUAAAACAUUGGGAAUCUUUAAAAACAGAAGCACCCAUCUGAACAGCCGACUCUUUUGUUGCUGCUAGUUCUGUUAGCUGUUUCAAGUCAUCAUUCACCUGAAAUUCUUACCUACUGCACUACUUGCAAGUAAAGUUCUAUUCCAAUUUACUUUAUUAUGGUGGCCAUCAUCCAAAUUGUGGACAAAAGCUAAGAAAGUGGAAGAAUAUCCAAGCAAAUGGAAGUGUCCUACUCCAUUUCUUAAAGAUUGUCUGUUAAUAGUAUGUUGAGCAGACCAAUUCAACAAUGUAGCCUUUCUUAAGGCAUGCUGAUGCUGUUAUCUAUCAUGGACGCAUGUUCAAAACAUAAUGUAGUUCAACUUUGUGAAUUCACAUAUAAACUUUAAUCUACUCACUGCCCAAUAUCUUUCCAAAACUUAUUUUUUGAUGCCCAAUAGGCAUGAUCAGUUUCCUUUUAUUAUGUUAACUUAAGUGUUGCAAUAUUUUUUCAAUUGGAGAUAAAUGACUAGUUCUUAAUAAUGAUCUCUCUCUCUCUCUCUCU
rnacentral:misc_RNA from 1 species